UUUUGGUAAAAAAAAAUUGGAUUUUGAAAAUCUAAUAAGGAAUGUUUUCCACCAAAAA
rnacentral:tRNA from 1 species